rnacentral:rRNA from 1 species
CGGGUGAGUAACACGUGGAUAACCUACCUAUAAGACUGGGAUAACUUCGGGAAACCGGAGCUAAUACCGGAUAAUAUUUUGAACCGCAUGGUUCAAAAGUGAAAGACGGUCUUGCUGUCACUUAUAGAUGGAUCCGCGCUGCACUAGCUAGUUGGUAAGGUAACGGCUUACCAAGGCAACGAUGCAUAGCCGACCUGAGAGGGUGAUCGGCCACACUGGAACUGAGACACGGUCCAG